rnacentral:rRNA from 1 species
UCGAAAAUGUUGUCUCUCUUGAGUGGAUCCUGAGUACGACGGAGCACGUGAAAUUCCGUCGGAAUCUGGGAGGACCAUCUCCUAAGGCUAAAUACUCUCUAGUGACCGAUAGUGAACCAGUACCGUGAGGGAAAGGUGAAAAGCACCCCGGAAGGGGAGUGAAAUAGAACCUGAAACCGUGUGCUUACAAGUAGUCAGAGCCCGUUAAUGGGUGAUGGCGUGCCUUUUGUAGAAUGAACCGGCGAGUUACGAUUUGAUGCAAGGUUAAGCAGUAAAUGUGGAGCCGUAGCGAAAGCGAGUCUGAAUAGGGCGUUUAGUAUUUGGUCGUAGACCCGAAACCAGGUGAUCUACCCUUGGUCAGGUUGAAGUUCAGGUAACACUGAAUGGAGGACCGAACCGACUUACGUUGAAAAGUGAGCGGAUGAACUGAGGGUAGCGGAGAAAUUCCAAUCGAACCUGGAGAUAGCUGGUUCUCUCCGAAAUAGCUUUAGGGCUAGCCUCAAGUGAUGAUUAUUGGAGGUAGAGCACUGUUUGGACGAGGGGCCCCUCUCGGGUUACCGAAUUCAGACAAACUCCGAAUGCCAAUUAAUUUAACUUGGGAGUCAGAACAUGGGUGAUAAGGUCCGUGUUCGAAAGGGAAACAGCCCAGACCACCAGCUAAGGUCCCAAAAUAUAUGUUAAGUGGAAAAGGAUGUGGCGUUGCCCAGACAACUAGGAUGUUGGCUUAGAAGCAGCCAUCAUUUAAAGAGUGCGUAAUAGCUCACUAGUCGAGUGACACUGCGCCGAAAAUGUACCGGGGCUAAACAUAUUACCGAAGCUGUGGAUUGUCCUUUGGACAAUGGUAGGAGAGCGUUCU